CGUCUGGGUGCGUUCAGUGUAGCUUGCUCUCUUCCAGUCAUAGCUAUUCACUUGUGACUGAGAGGUUUAUGUGCAUAAUAUUUCUUAUGGGAAUCACUUCAGCUUGAUCAAGACCAAACAUCUGAUUCCUGGUUACUUCCUUACGCCUUCCAACAACGAAGACACGUAGAAAACGAAUGACAGAUGGCUGUAGAUAAGACCUGAGGACAGAACAUCCAAAAAAGGAGCAGAGAAAGUUUUCCAGGGAGGGAACAACAGACUUCAAGUGAUAUGUCUUCGAACAAGAGAAAAAUGUUUAUUGAAGAAGUCAAAGGGUUUGCCAAAGACUUCAUCAAUCCUCGAUUACUUAUCCUGAAAUGUACUUACUUCUUUUUAUUAUCAGGUAUUGUGUUGAUAUAUCCGCAGUUAACAAUUCAUCAAAAAACCCUCGGGCUUGACGAAUACCAGACUGGUACAAUUGCCUCCGUUAUUUCGGUCUCCACCAUUUUCUUCCCAUUCAUUGGUGGCUUCGUUGGGGAUAAAGUUGGUAACUACAGAAUCCUGAUGGCUACUGUUUCUAUAAUAACAGGAGGGAUUGCCUUGUUUUUUCCAUGGGUUCCAUCAACUAAAGUUGAGAUGCCGAUUUCAAAUUUCUCUGAUGCAACAUCAUCAAACUUUUCCUUUGAGGUCAAUAGCUCAUAUCAAGGCAACUCAAUGAUCGAGGUUGAUGAUAAUCAGCUGGAAUGGACAUUCUGGAUAUACCUUGCGUUC